rnacentral:misc_RNA from 1 species
AUUUCUACGCAAAUGGGGUUGUUGAAAAUCUGAAAAAAGAUUCAAGAAUCGAAUUACACAAACUGAUUGCUGCAGAUUUCUACUGAAUUGAACUGAAUACUCAUCAAAAUGUAUAUUGAGCUGACAGUUUGUUGGAAUGGUUUUUACUUGUAACCUCUAGUGUUAGUUGGAGAUUACAAAAGCAUAAGCAAAUCUCAUUUUAGUUAUUAGGUUUUCGUGAACUCGCUCUUGCUAUUCUAGAUCCGUCUCUAAAUUCUCGAAGAAUAUAAUGAAAAAAUUUUAUUGUAAAAGAGUUAAUGAUAUAGUAGUAUUUAUUGAUGAGACUCGAG